rnacentral:siRNA from 1 species
AUCGAUACACGGAAGGGCUAUGUU